rnacentral:lncRNA from 1 species
GAAGACAUAGCCCCUGAUUUUGAGGGGAUUGAAGUCCAGGGGACAAAGAGAUAGAGAUACAUAAAUAAUUUCAGCAUCAUGUCAUAAAGGCGAUGACAGAAGUAUGUACAAUAUAUUUGCAGUGGAUCUAUUGUUCAGAAGAAGUCAAGAUAGCUUUGUUAGAUAAGGAGUUUGAGCUGGCUUUUGCAUAUAAGGACUUUGAGGCAUGGAGAGACGAAGAAAUUUGUUCAAGGUCACAUAGCUGUGCAGUGGGAGAGUUGGGAUUUGAACCUGAACAAGCUGGAAAGCUGCAAAGAAACAUUCUCUGCUGAAGGAACAACAGGGUAGAGAGGUGUGAAAGGGGCUGGCUUAGUCAGGGAGGACAGAGGGCCACUGGGGAUGGAGGGCAGGUGAUGUGAUUGUACCAGCUGGG